GUGUGUGAGAGUGUGUGAGUGUGAGUGUGUGCGCGUGCGUGCGUGCGUGUGUGUGUGUACACACACGCGGGGAGAGACAUGACCCAGGAGACAGCAGUUUAUUUGAGCCUCGGGGACGUUUCCACAGGGAGUCAAGCAGUAGGCCUACAUUCAAAACACUAAAAUAAAUAAAUAAAUGACAUAAAUAACAAUAAAUAAAUAUCUAAAAAUAUAAACGAAACCAGAGUGGAAGCGAUGGACAUGAACCCUAGAUCAAGCCUGCCUGGGUUGGGCUUCAGGACCGCCACUGUGGGUCCAUCCGUCUGGGUUGUGUCUGGUUCUGGUGGAUGUUCCGUCUGGGUUGUGUCUGGUUCUGGUGGAUGUUCCGUCUGGGUUGUGUCUGGUUCUGGUGGAUGUUCCGUCUGGGUUGUGUCUGGUUCUGGUGGAUGUUCCGUCUGGGUUGUGUUUGGUUCUGGUGGAUGUUCCGUCUGGGUUGUGUUUGGUUCUGGUGGAUGUUCCGUCUGGGUUGUGUUUGGUUCUGGUGGAUGUUCCGUCUGGGUUCCGUCUGGGUUGUGAUUGGUUCUGGUGGAUGUUCCGUCUGGGUUCCGUCUGGUGCAUCACAGCUACACGGUCACUAUCGGUGUCUGGCGUCUCUAGCCCCCCCCCCAUAAAUAACAUAAACAAACAGAAAGACAAACUCUACAGGACAGAGUGAUGGUUCCCAUGGAAACAGCAUGGGAACAAAAGUGGAGCAUCAACAGCCGUGUAAAACAGAGGUGCAGAGAGAGAGAGAGAGAGAGAGAGAGAGAGAGAGCACUAUUAGAGGGAGAGAUGCAGGAGCUCUAUCAAUUUCUCUCUCUCCAUCUCUCCCUCUCCAUCUCUCUCUCCAUCUCUCCAUCUCUCUCUCCAUCUCUCUCUCUUUCUCCAUCUCUCUCCUGGUCCCGGUCGUCUCCACUUCACUCCUUCUUCCCUUGGUCUGUCACCCCUGUGCUGAGCUCACAGUGUGUGUGUGUGUGUGUGUGUGUGAGUGUGUGUCUUCACUCCUUCUUCCCUUGGUCUGUCACCCCUGUGCUGAGCUCACAGUGAGUGUAUGUGUGUGUGAGUGUGAGUGUGUGUGGAGGCUUGUAUCCGUUGGCGGGCGGAGUGUGUGCGCGUGUGUGUGUGUGUGAGUGUGUGUGUGUGUGCUGCAGGGCUCUGGUGAAGAGUCUGAAGGCUCCUCGGCAGAUGAGGCAGAACCAGUAGACCUGUGGCGCCAUCAACAGGAAGGCGCCGGUAUUACACUGCCACGGGACCAGCAGCGGCACCAGGUACAGGGGGACGGACGCGUACCUGCACACACACACACACACACACACACACACACACACACACACACACACACACACACACACACACACACACACACAGAUCAUUACACUGCCACGGGACCAGCAGCGGCACCAGGUACAGGGGGACGGACGCGUACCUACCUACACACACACACACACACACACACACACACACACACACUUUUAAGACAGAUCAGAGUAAAAAGGCGUCCUGAACAAUAUCACUCUAAAGACCAAGACCAAAAAGACAGACAUACUGAGAG
ensembl:lncRNA